CUGCUACAAGUGGCAACAUAGUUUUCAGCAGGUUGGACUUAGACUGAACAUUGGUCUCAUUCCAGAAUUCUUGGAUUCCUGGGGCUAAAUUCAGCUCAAGAAGCAGAAAAAACAAAAUGCAAAAGAACAUCCAUCCCCUCUUGGAGGCCACACCAGAGAGAUUCUGCACAUAGCUCUCCUUCCAGGCUAUGGGUAGAAGACUAGGGUACAUAGCUGGCUGACAUCCAACUGACUGAGGACCAUAAAGGAGGCACCACUUGCACUGUACUUCAAACUGACAGUUACAGUCAGUUAAGAGAGGGACAGAUCCUGCCAGGAUCAAAAACAUCUCCGCACAAAGCAAAUUAGGGAUGCAAUGACAAAUAUCCUCCUACCCCCGCGCGCAACUCCUUGCUACACCCCAGCAUCUAGCAAGAGAGUUUUCAGGAGCACAGAGCCUAGUUGUGGGUCGAAGCUCCUACUUUUCCUUCAGUUGCUCCACUGCUGUUUGUGCAGAGCAGAGUGAUGGGUAGGAGUGCACAGAAAGAGCCCGGGGGAAGGGAGAUUUCACAUAAGUGCUUAUCUCCUUUACUGAGUGGUUCUGCACCUCUCACCUGUGGAAUGGCUGUAGAGCUACUCCACAACAGCUUUCUAUACUGGGCCCAACUCUGUUGGGCUGCUAUAAAAAUAGGUCAACACAGCA